UCAAACUCCAAGGUCAAGGUCAAAGCAUCAAAGUUAUUGUUUUCAAAUGAAAGGUCUUGUCAUAAGGAUCAAAUAUGUAAAGUAUGAAAGGAACUACCCCUAAGUCUUUAAAAGUUAUGGUCAAGUUUGCUUUUUUAAAGUAGGCCAAUCUCAGAGGUCAAGGUCAAAUGGUCAAGGAUCUUCAUAUCCAAUGAAGGGUCUUCUCACAAGGAUUACAUAUAUGAAGUAUGAAAGCCCUAUCCCUUACCGUUCAGAAGUUAUGGCCAAGGUUAAAGUUUUUUCACAAGUAUGGAAAUCUACAAGGUCAAGGUCAAAGGGUCAAGGUUGUUUGGUAUCCAGUGAAAGGUCUUUUAACAAACAUUACAUAUGUGAAGUAUAAAUGUCCUGGUGUCUACUGUUCAAAAGAUAUGACCAAAGUACAAUUUUAAAAUUUUUAUGUAAAAGUGGGUCAAACUCCAAGGUCGAGGUCAAAAGUUCAAAUUUGGUGGUACUCAAAGAGAGGUCUUGUCAGAAGGAA